rnacentral:rRNA from 1 species
UCCACCGAUUGACUAAGGUUUCCAGAGGAAGGCUCGUCCGCUCUGGGUUAGUCGGGUCCUAAGCUGAGGCCGACAGGCGUAGGCGAUGGAUAACAGGUUGAUAUUCCUGUACCACCUAUAAUCGUUUUAAUCGAUGGGGGGACGCAGUAGGAUAGGCGAAGCGUGCGAUUGGAUUGCACGUCUAAGCAGUAAGGCUGAGUAUUAGGCAAAUCCGGUACUCGUUAAGGCUGAGCUGUGAUGGGGAGAAGACAUUGUGUCUUCGAGUCGUUGAUUUCACACUGCCGAGAAAAGCCUCUAGAUAGAAAAUAGGUGCCCGUACCGCAAACCGACACAGGUAGUCAAGAUGAGAAUUCUAAGGUGAGCGAGCGAACUCUCGUUAAGGAACUCGGCAAAAUGACCCCGUAACUUCGGGAGAAGGGGUGCUCUUUAGGGUUAACGCCCAGAAGAGCCGCAGUGAAUAGGCCCAAGCGACUGUUUAUCAAAAACACAGGUCUCUGCUAAACCGUAAGGUGAUGUAUAGGGGCUGACGCCUGCCCGGUGCUGGAAGGUUAAGAGGAGUGGUUAGCUUCUGCGAAGCUACGAAUCGAAGCCCCAGUAAACGGCGGCCGUAACUAUAACGGUCCUAAGGUAGCGAAAUUCCUUGUCGGGUAAGUUCCGACCCGCACGAAAGGCGUAACGAUUUGGGCACUGUCUCAACGAGAGACUCGGUGAAAUCAUAGUACCUGUGAAGAUGCAGGUUACCCGCGACAGGACGGAAAGACCCCGUGGAGCUUUACUGUAGCCUGAUAUUGAAAUUCGGCACAGCUUGUACAGGAUAGGUAGGAGCCUUUGAAACGUGAGCGCUAGCUUACGUGGAGGCGCUGGUGGGAUACUACCCUAGCUGUGUUGGCUUUCUAACCCGCACCACUUAUCGUGGUGGGAGACAGUGUCAGGCGGGCAGUUUGACUGGGGCGGUCGCCUCCUAAAAGGUAAC